UACCACAUAGCAGGCACUCAAUACAUAUUUGUUAACUUAAUGCAUAAACUCCCACCACUUACACGUUGGGUACUUUUUUGAAAAACAAACAAACAAACCUACAUAUUAACUUCUGGUUGUGACUACUGUUUAUUUAAUAACUGUUUGGUACCAUAUAAUACUGAGUUUGCACUUCCUAUAUCUUAUUAUUGACUUUCUCCAAGAUUAUUAGAGACAGUGAACUCUGAGCCUAUGACUCAUCUCUUUAUACUCUUCAUGGAAAAAGAAGUUGAAGACAGAAGAUCCAACUCUGCCACCUCUGGGAAUUACAGCACAAUGGGAAGUAUCUGUCCAACCUGACUGCGGACUGAGGCAAAUCUUAAGCAUAACGCCAAGAUAGCGCCUUCUAGAUGGACUACUUCAAGUCAGAGCCUCAAAAGCAGAUUGUAAUUAUUACCUGCUCCAUUUUAUACGUGACAAAAAGUACCCAUAAAGGGAUUAAGGGGUUUUGCUCAAAGCAACAAAUCAAAAGGGCUGCUGCAGUUUGCUGGCGAUCCACUCUACAUCCUAUUUGCCUGGGUCCCUCUUGCACCUGGAAGUAUCACCAGUAGAGGCUGCAGAACAACAAACAUAGCUGUGUGCUCCUUGUUCUGGAAGUUCCAUCCCAGAGGGACACCGACCUGAUGCCUGUUGGAACUCUCCUGCUUGAGGUGUCUGGUUACCCCUGUUGGGGAUCUCACCCAGUCAGGAAGCACGGGAUCAGAGACCUGCUUAACAAAGCACUCUGACUGCCCCUGGGGAUAGUGGGUGCACUGUGCUGGGGGGAAUAUCACUCAUCUAGACUACCCAGCCUCCUCAGAGCCAGCAGGUGGGAAAGAUUAAGUCUGCUGAACCAGAUACCACAGCCACCCCUCCCCCCAGGUACUCCAUCCCAGGGAGAUCAGAAUUCUCUCCAUAAACCCCCGGCUGGAGUUGCUGAAAUUCCCACAGGGAGACCCCACUUGGUGAGAAAGGAUGGAUCCAGGUCCCACCUAAAGAGGUAGUCUGGCCACAAUCUGCCACAGCUGCUGUGUUGCACUUUGGGGAAUUCCUCCCACUAAAAACCGCCCAGCCUUCCUGCACCGGAUCAGAAAAUGACUGACUGGAGUCACAGUGAUGGCAGCCGCCCCUCCCCACUGGUAACUCGGUUGUCUUAGGCUGUCUCCAGUCUACUGUGUCUGGCCACAACGAAAGUGGUCACCAAGAGUCUGCACAGUUCUGUGCUUGGAACCAAAGGCCCUGGUAGCAUGGGCUCAGGAGGGGAUCUCCUGAUCCAAGGGUUUCACAGAUCCAUGAAAAAAGCAUGGUUUCCCUGGCAAGGUAGCACAAUCACUCUCCACCUCCCUUGGCUGGGGGUGGGUGGGAGCUCCCCUUUCCCUGUGAAGCUCCCAGUUGGGCCAUCACUCUACCCUGCUUUCCCUCACUCUGCUUGGGUCACAGCAAAUGCUAGUCAGUCCCAUUGAGAGAACCUGGAUACCUCAGCUGAAGGUGUGGUAUUUACUCGCUGUUUUUGUUCUUCUACGUUAGAGCUGCAGACCAGAGCUGCUACUAAUCAGCCAUACUGGCCCCUCCACACUAAAGCUUUUGAAUGAACCUUCACCCAUGCUUUCAAAAACUUGCCUUGGUCUCUCACUCUGCCUUAUGCUCCUCAGUUGAAUUCUUUCUCCUGAGGAAGCAAGAAUUGAGGUUGCUGCAGACCCAUAUGGAUUCACCACUGGUAACACUUUUGGCCAAAUACAUAAACCAGCAAGCUGAUAAUUAUGCCAGUUUGCCAAUCAUAACUAAAACUGUGUUGUUACAACCCUGCCUUGUGUACAGAGGUUUCAGUGAUUCCCGGAAAAUGGCGAAUGAAAGGUCAAGACAUCAGUAAGAGUUGUUGUUGUUGUUGUUGUUGUUGUUGUUGUUGUUUUGACAUGAAUAUGCAGCUGUUAACGAAGCUGUAUCCCCCAGUUCCUAGGAAAGGUAACAUUUGUAUCAAUUGGGUGAAGGCCUCUUUCAAGAAUAUAUUCAUUUUCAGGUAUCUAUUAUGAGUCUUGGCACUAAUCCAAACAUCAACAGCAGUGUUUCAAUCAUGAUGUGCUGAUACAUACUUCCCAAAAUAGUUAUAAUAAAGAGAAUAAGGCAGAAAAUCGGACAUGAUCUGCUGGUGGGGAAAGCCAAAAUAAAACAAGCUUCCAAGUAAAAUGAAGGCUGCCACGGCUAUGAAGCAACAUAAAUAAAAACCACUGGCUACAGAGUCUUUUUCUGCAGAAGACGGAAAGCAGUCAUAUGGCCAGACAAAUUAAGGCACAAUGGAUCGGCCAAAACAAUCUUUAUUCAGCACUAGAGUGGUUUCUGCCAAACAAAAGGUAUGUGGAACAUGACUCAAUUUGGCUUAUUGCAAGCUUUAGUGAAGAAUUAUAAUUUGUGAUAAAGAAUGCCAAAUGAGCAGUUUUGUGAUGUAAACGAUACAUUAGGGAAAUAAGGAGAACAUGAACAGAUCAUUGAAAUUGUUAGAAUCCAAGCAUUUAAAGGGUGAAUCAAGGCAGUAAUCUUGCGUUAACUUCACACAUUUUGCUUUUCUCCAAGUUGGAGCCACUUAAGAAAUUCCAGUUAGCCAAUGUGAUUAAGAAAUAAAGUGUCAC